UACGAAGGUGGCAAGCGUUGUUCGGAUUUACUGGGCGUACAGGGAGCGUAGGCGGUCCGGUAAGCCCUCCGUGAAAUCUCCAGGCUCAACCUGGAAAGUGCAGAGGGGACUGCCGGGCUAGAGGAUGGGAGAGGAGCGCGGAAUUCCCGGUGUAGCGGUGAAAUGCGUAGAGAUCGGGAGGAAGGCCGGUGGCGAAGGCGGCGCUCUGGAACAUUUCUGACGCUGAGGCUCGAAAGCGUGGGGAGCAAACAGG
rnacentral:rRNA from 1 species